CAUGCAAGUCGAACGAGGAUAUAUCCUUCGGGAUAUAAGCCGAGUGGCGCAAGGGUGAGUAAUGCAUAGAUUACCUACCUCUAGGAUAAGGACAACUUUGUGAAAACGAAGCUAAUACUUAAUAACACAAGAGAAAAUAAUUUUCUUUUGUCAAUGGGAGGGUAGCAAUACCUUUUGCCUAGAGAGGGGUUUAUGUCCUAUCAGCUUGUUGGUGGGGUAAUGGCCUACCAAGGCGAAGACGGGUAGCCGGUCUUAGAGGAUGGUCGGCCACACUGGGACUGAGACACUGCCCAGACUUCUACGGAAGGCUGCAGUCGAGAAUCUUUCGCAAUGCCCGAAAGGGUGACGAAGCGACGCCGCGUGAGUGAGGAAGGCCUUCGGGUUGUAAAGCUCUGUCAGGAGUUAAGAAAUGUAAGUGUGCUAAUACCACAUUUACUUGACGAAGGCUCCAAAGGAAGCCACGGCUAACUCUGUGCCAGCAGCCGCGGUAAUACAGAGGUGGCAAGCGUUGUUCGGAAUUAUUGGGCGUAAAGAGCACGUAGGUGGGUUUGUAAGUCAGAUGUGAAAGCCUUCUGUUCAACGGAAGAAUUGCAUCUGAAACUGCAAGUCUUGAGUGUAGGAGGGGGGAAUGGAACUUCUGGUGGAGCGGUGAAAUGCGUAGAUAUCAGAAGGAACGCCGGCGGCGAAAGCGAUUCUCUGGCCUAUUACUGACACUCAGUGUGCGAAAGCUAGGGGAGCAAACGGGAUUAGAUACCCCGGUAGUCCUAGCCGUAAACGAUGGGCACUAAGUAGAGGGAAUUACCGAUGUUCUCUCUGCCGUAGCUAACGCAUUAAGUGCCCCGCCUGGGGAGUACGGCCGCAAGGCUAAAACUCAAAAGAAUUGACGGGGGCUCGCACAAGCGGUGGAGCAUGUGGCUUAAUUCGAUGCAACGCGAAAAACCUUACCGGGGCUUGACAUGGUAGAAGUAGGAACCCGAAAGGGUAACGAACGGUAUCCAGUCCGUAGCUAUCACAGGUGUUGCAUGGCUGUCGUCAGCUCGUGUCGUGAGACGUUGGGUUAAGUCCCCUAACGAGCGAAACCCUUGUUUUUAGUUACCAGCGGGUUAUGCCGGGUACUCUAGAAAGACUGCCGUCGUCAAGACGGAGGAAGGUGGGGAUGACGUCAAGUCAUCAUGGCCCUUAUGCCCCGGGCUGCACACGUGCUACAAUGGUCGGUACAAACGGAAGCGAAGCCGAGAGGUGGAGCGAAUCCUAAAAAGCCGAUCUCAGUUCGGAUUGGAGGCUGAAAUUCGCCUCUAUGAAGUUGGAAUCGCUAGUAAUCGCGGAUCAGCAUUGCCGCGGUGAAUAUGUUCCCGAGCCUUGUACACACCGCCCGUCAAGCCACCCAAGCAGGAUGCACCCGAAAACAUUAUAUCUAACCAGGCUUGCCUGGAGGAAAGUGUUGAAGGAGUGUUUUGUGAGGAGGACUAAGUCGUAACAAGGUAGUCGUAGGAGAACCUGCGGCUGGAUCACCUCCUUUCU
rnacentral:rRNA from 1 species